GACGAACGCUGGCGGCGUGCUUAACACAUGCAAGUCGAACGAAGUGGCGAACGGGUGAGUAACGCGUAAUCAACCUGCCCUUCAGAGGGUGACGACAGUUGGAAACGACUGCUAAUACCGCAUACUGAAGGAGGGGAUUUCGUUGGAUUAGCUAGUUGGUGGGGUAAAGGCCUACCAAGGCGACGAUCAGUAGCGGGUCUGAGAGGCGGAUCCGCCACACUGGGACUGAGAAACGGCCCAGACUCCUACGGGAGGAAGCAGGGGGGAAUUUUGGACAAUGGGGGCAAGCCUGAUCCAGCCAUGCCGCGUGUCUGAAGAAGGCCUUAGGGUUGUAAAGGACUUUUGUUAGGGAAGCGGUACCUAAAGAAUAAGCACCGGCUAACUACGUGCCAGCAGCCGCGGUAAUAC
rnacentral:rRNA from 1 species